UACGUAGGGGCCUAGCGUUGUCCGGAUUUAUUGGGCGUAAAGAGCUCGUAGGCGGUUUGGUGAGUCGGGUGUGAAAUCUCCACGCUCAACGUGGAGGGGCCACCCGAUACUGCCAUGACUAGAGUCCGGUAGGGGAGUGUGGAAUUCCCGGUGUAGCGGUGAAAUGCGCAGAUAUCGGGAGGAACACCAGUAGCGAAGGCGACAUCCUGGACCAAUAUUGACGCUGAGGAGCGAAAGCCAGGGGAGCAAACGGG
rnacentral:rRNA from 1 species